CGCGUAGGUGGUUGCGUAAGUAACGUGUGAAAUCCCUCGGCUUACCCGGGGAAUUGCAUGUUAUACUGCGUGGCUUGAGGAUCACAGGGGAAAGCGGAACUCCAGGUGUAGCGGUGAAAUGCGCAGAUAUCUGGGGGAAGGCCGGCGGCGAAGGCGGCUUUCUGGGUGAUUCCUGACACUGAGGCGCGAAAGCGUGGGGAGCAAACA
rnacentral:rRNA from 1 species